ACGUAGGUGGCGAGCGUUGUCCGGAAUCAUUGGGCGUAAAGAGCAUGUAGGCGGUUUUUUUAAGUCUGGAGUGAAAAUGCGGGGCUCAACCCCGUAUGGCUCUGGAUACUGGAAGACUUGAGUGCAGGAGAGGAAAGGGGAAUUCCCAGUGUAGCGGUGAAAUGCGUAGAUAUUGGGAGGAACACCAGUGGCGAAGGCGCCUUUCUGGACUGUGUCUGACGCUGAGAUGCGAAAGCCAGGGUAGCGAACGG
rnacentral:rRNA from 1 species